rnacentral:lncRNA from 1 species
GGAGGAGGGAGCUGAAGAACAGACAUUAUAACCUGACAUCGCCCUGCUUUUUCUUUUGCGGUCUCCAAGCGUUUGGCAAUAAUAUUUAUGCUGUUUUAGGUAGAAAAGUUCGGGAGUGAGCAAUGGGAGGAGAAGCUGCUUAGAGGCACUGCAUCCAGCAGGAGCUAAGCCCUGGGAGGGCUGAGAGGGACAGCAGUGCCGUGUCAGUUUGGGGACAUAGUUCCAUGAAUGCACCCAGUGGGAAUGUGCGCUCUGCUCGAAGUGGCUUGGGAAGGCAAAAUGCAUCUCAGCUCACUGCCGGGCUUAUUGUGUAAGCAGCCUGAAUUUGUUCUGGAGGGGAAAAAAGGAUCUUUCUGGCAAGCACUACACUCUCCUGGGUUUCGAUGCUGUGAGAAUUACGAUUCAUCCAGAGUUCAAGCCUUUGGUUAAGACAAUGUCCUCAGGGUUAUGAGGGAGCAAUCAGCAUCUGCCAAGCGGCGAGAGUACCAAAGCUGCCAUUAGUAUUUCCCGAAUCUAAAUGCUUUGAUUUCCUCCUCACCUCUGAAGGACGAUCCUGCACAGCAGCUGCAUCAACACAGAUACUGCUGUGGGGUUGUUGCCUUCUGCAAGAGUACCUGGGACCCUCCACCAAAACCUUCUGCCUUCCUGCUAAAUGAUUGAAGAAUAUCUUGUAAAUCAUUUACCUCUCCCUGCUGCUGGCUUUCUGUUGAUAGUGUUUACUCUGCUUCCAACACGACGGCAAAGUUAAAUUUUCAUCUUGCAGAAAAAAAAUAAAUAAAAAGAACAAAAU